rnacentral:rRNA from 1 species
AGUGAACGCUGGCGGUAUGCCUAACACAUGCAAGUCGAACGGCAGCACAGUAAGAGCUUGCUCUUACGGGUGGCGAGUGGCGGACGGGUGAGGAAUACAUCGGAAUCUACUUUUUCGUGGGGGAUAACGUAGGGAAACUUACGCUAAUACCGCAUACGACCUACGGGUGAAAGCAGGGGAUCUUCGGACCUUGCGCGAUUGAAUGAGCCGAUGUCGCAUUAGCUAGUUGGCGUGGUAAAGGCCCACCAAGGCGACGAUCCGUAGCUGGUCUGAGAGGAUGAUCAGCCACACUGGAACUGAGACACGGUCCAGACUCCUACGGGAGGCAGCAGUGGGGAAUAUUGGACAAUGGGCGAAAGCCUGACGCAGCAACACCGCGUGAGUGAAGAAGGCCUUCGGGUUGUAAAGCCCUUUUGUUGGGAAAGAAAAGAAGCAGGUUAAUACCCCGCUGUUCUGACGGUACCCAAAGAAUAAGCACCGGCUAACUUCGUG